rnacentral:tRNA from 1 species
GGAGAUCUGUGGCUCAGUGGGAGAGCAUCUGCCUUGCAUGCAAAAGGUCCUGAGUUCAAACUACGACGUCUUCA